rnacentral:lncRNA from 1 species
GAUUAAUCGACGCAUGAGAGGUGGCCGGUUUGGGACGUAGCCACCGUAUGGGUACUGGCCGAAAUUCAGCGAAGCAUGUUGAGCUGAAGCUAACCAGAUGAGGGUGGUAAGGAUCGAAGUGAGAUCCUCUGGACUAGCUAACGUGGGCCACCACUCUUCAUUGCGGAGGUCUGCAUGGCCCACGUUAAUGGACUCAGCAUACCAGGCUUGGAGUUCUCUGUCAUUGCAAACUUGGGCCGAGUCCGGGUAGUAGUGAUUUACAUAGCUGCGAACCCAGCCCUCUAUUGCCGCCCAUAUCAUGAGCCCAUCUGCCGCAUAGGGAUAAUCCUCGAUUAGAAGUU